UUUCUCUUUGCCUGAUGAAGUCUGCCUGAGAUUGGCUUCUUGUCACAGAUUGCUGCUGCAUGCUCUGAACUUUGGGUCCAGGUUGUGAUGGAUUUCUGCGCUAAUCAUCUUGAGUGCAGUCUGCACUGAUUCUGGCUGUCCCACUCUUCUGCAGCAGAGUUUAUCUUUUAUUUUAUGUUUAUGGAUCAACAGUUUUGUUUGUUUAGUCAUUGUGCUUCACCAGGCCUAGAGCCAUUCAGCUCUGAAGAUCUACGGUCUGCACACACUGAAAUGCCACUCCAACUCCUCUGCUCAGAUGAAUUAUACACAAGCGGCUGUCUCAUGAGCAUCCAAAGAAAGCCAGCUCAUUCAACAAACGUAUCAAUGGCAAAUGCAGCACAUAAUAACCGCUCGGGUGGUGUUCGUGAUAUGUGUGCAUGUUUGCCCGGACCUUGGCCCUAACUGAGGCUUGGGGACAUAUUCAGGAACUGAGGCAGAACACACUGGCAUCAUGAAAAAAGGAAGUGAAUGAACAAUGGCUACAAGCCCAUGUGACUGCAGAGCUCAUACCGUAGGACAUGCAUGACGACUGACACAAGGAAGACACAAGGCUGCCCCAACGGAGCUGGGAUCAGUCUCACCAACUGAGAGGACUGAUGGCUUCCUCUGCUUCACUGUAAUGGCAUCUCCUAUCUUGAGCCUUACAAAAUUGCCUGUUCUCAGUGUGCGUCUCCAGAAAAAUCACACACAAUUACUCUAUUCUGGGAGGAUCCUGACCCAUUUCUGGAAUUCUCCACCACCACCCCACUUUAACUCACAAAUAACUCUCGCUCCCACUGAAGUUUUCUGAUAGGAUGCUAUCCAGCAUCCCAGGCAGGGUGUCUCUUUUUAGGAACCCAAACACACUUCUUGAACACGUCCUUAGUUUCUCCCUGGAAUAAACUUCCUCCAAUUCUUUAUUUUUCACUUGUCUCUGAACUCUAUCUGAUGGUGAGAGGAAGUUGUAAAUCAUGAGUAGAAGUUUUGAGCUGGUCUCUCUGAGACUUUCUCAUCCUUUACCACGAGUGAUAUAACCAAAAGAAAAUAACAAAGGAUGUGUAGGAGACUGCAAAUCAAAGUUAUAUGAGCAAAUAAACUCUACUUGCAAGUGCCUUCAACAUUCUCACCGAACCAGGUCAGAGAACUUGUUAGCUUCACAGCAGGUCUCAUGAGUAUCUCCUUACCUGCUGGCAUCUUAACACUUAUACUUCUAUUUACUUUCAUGGCCAGGAGCUGAAUCCAGGUCCUCCUGUGUGCUAGGCACAUGCUCUAUUAUUGAGCUACACAGUGUGCUGGCUCUUUCCAGACUGAUCUUUGACCACAUCAUCCCUGGACUAGUUUAAUUCAGCUGGUCUUGAAGACAUCAUCUUUCCAGUUUCCUUUCAUCCUUUGUCCAUGGUUUCCCUCACCUACACCAGAGUUCCUGAUAAUCCUCCCUUCCAUAGAUUAGUUGUAUUUUUCUUGUUUCAUGCCUCAUUUCACUAGUGUUGAAAAUGGGACCUCCUGAACAUUAUGUGGUAAUUGUCGAGUUACCAUCUCACCAUGACUUGGGUUUGCUGUUUCUGUCUGCUGUGGGGUGGAGUUAGUUGUUUAGUAAUUUUUCUAAACAUUUUUAUUAGCCUAUAUGUUACAAAUUUUCAAUUGUAAGAAUACAGUUGGAUGACAUUAAGUAAAAUUAUACUGCUGUAUUUUCCAAGCACCACUGCCACCU
rnacentral:lncRNA from 1 species